UACAUAAGACCCCCCUUGUGUUAAUAAAUGUAUUAUUUCUUUUCCGCCUCCAAGAAGCUCAGAGUAAUAUACAGACAUCUGCCUGAGUCCAUCAACCUGCCCAACACUCCUACGAAGUGGAUUGGAUUUUAGAAGUCAUGACUGGCCCCAAGAUCACUGAGUGUUCUUCACUGGUAAUGACGAGAGCCUAAAUCCAGGUUCUCCACUGCAUGGUCCAUCAGAUGUGUUAAACUACAAUUUCCAUCACCCACAACUGGUAUGGCUAUUCAUUAUCACAGAGACCAACGCCUCUGCAGGGUGCUGUGCUGAAGAACAUCAUCCACCAGACUGGAACUACUGAAAAAAAAAGACUCUUUUCCUGAAUUGAGCAAAAAACCUGUUGCRACUUUGUGAAACCCAUUGGGCUGAGCAACAUGAUGCAGUUUUACAUUUUGUUGAACUGUACAGUGUGGUGGUGAGAACACUUGAAGAACUAAAAGAGAGUCCUCUACUCAACAGUGAAACUUUUUCCCAAGCCUUCCUUUAGUUGGUUUAAAUACCUUCUUUUAGCUGUUUUGAAUGCUGAAUUUGUAGUAACCAUACAAAUCCUAUGAAAGCUGCAGUCAUCACCCUUUCAGCUUAACAAAACAUUACAAAGAGUAGAUAUGGACAUUUUCUGUAGUCUGCAACAUGUUGACAGUCUCUUAGAAAAAGCCAGGGAGAUGCACACAGAAUCUGUGAAAGAAUUUCAGGAGAACUUUGACACUGCAAGGUGAGUGGUGGAGUCUAUGGGCGGAGAAGUUACAAUUCCUCACAUUUGUUCAAGGCAGACAAAUAAAAGUAACACCCAGGCAACUUCACCAACACCAAUGGAAUAUUAUAGGCUAAAUGUGUGCAUCCCAUUUCUGGUCUUUUUCUGCAGUCAGUUUCAAAAAAAUGUUUACAAGGCACAGGGAAGUAGUUCAGGAACUGCAAGUUUUCCUCCCUAUUAAUUGUGGCCGUUUAAAGUCCAACUUGAACAAGUGCACAGAACUUUACAAUGAAUGCCUUCAAAAUACGGACACACUGAUGGUGUAGAAAAUGGAGCAAGAUUACACUUGCAGAAAAACCAUCAAAUGCACUGGAAGCAUUUUCUUCAUGAAGUUUCUUCACAUUUUUUUCCCAAAUGUGAAGAAACUUCUUGAGAUUUCUGCAACAUUGCCAGUGUCAACAGCUUCAAAUGAAAUGCCAUUUUCAACUCUUAAAUAUAAGAAGCACAAUGGGGCAAGAAAGAUUGACUGGACUUACACUCUUGAUUGUCCACUGAAGUUUAUCAAUGGAGACUGAUUUCUGUGAAAGCGUAUUGACACAGUUUUCAAGUGUUUCCAAAAAGCAUUGUGGUAUUCUUUUGUAACCAAUAAAUUACCAAUUAAGAGUCA